rnacentral:rRNA from 1 species
UCCUACGGGAGGCAGCAGUGGGGAAUAUUGCGCAAUGGGCGAAAGCCUGACGCAGCAACGCCGCGUGGGGGAUGAAUGCCUUCGGGUUGUAAACCCCUUUCAGCAGGGACGAAGCGAGAGUGACGGUACCUGCAGAAGAAGCGCCGGCUAACUACGUGCCAGCAGCCGCGGUA